CACAACCAAAAAACUUAAGAGGCUUCUUCUUCUUCUUCUUUCCUCUUCUUCUUCAACCAAUCUGCUGAAGAGAAUUGAUAUGGAGACGGACACAGCAACCAGAUAUCUAAUAGAGAUCCUCUACUAACCGGAUUGUUACGAUUCAAAUUGGCUUACAUAAGUUACAAGGUAUUGUUUUCUUUAUCUAAACUCUCAAAUAUCGGUUCAUCAGACCAAUCCUUUAAUAUUUCUAUCGUUUCCUUAACACUCAACACGUUAAACUUAAACAUAAUAGAUAUGCUUAGGUAAAUUUCAAUCAGAUUUUUUUUGCUUGAUUGAUUGUUUUUCUUUUGGGGCUAAAUUCUGCUUGAUUCUUCUAUUAGUUUUUUUUUAGUAUCCUAUUCUCGAUUCAAUUGUUGCAGAAGUUGGGCAGCCUAAAUGUAUUGCAAAAUUUCCCGUUUGCAAAUGACUCAAUGGGGUGUUGUUUUACUACUCAUUAGCUUCUAUUGCUGGGCCAAGAGGUUGAUCUCUUGCCCUUUGUUUCGACCGAAGGUGGCCUCAACUUCUCAGGGAAUUGUGGGUAACUUCAAAUAGUUUCAAUGUCUGUUACUUCCUAGAAAUUGGAGAAAUCUAGGUUCAACUUCUGAGUAACUCUAAUGAUAUUUUUAGCAAACAAAAUAUAGAACAAUACCAAUGCCAAUUAGUCAUACAAAAUUAUAAAAAAUAAAAGUCUCCAAAUAAAAGUCUUGCAAUAUAAAAUCCAUACGGAUACAUAAAUCUAGUUGUCUCUAAGCCUGUAGUCUGAUAUACUGGGCAGGCAAACAGAUUAAGGAAACACAUUCCGAUUAAUACCAACACUUUUAGAGUGGAACAGGAAUAUAAACGGAAGGAGAAAGUCAUAACAGAUGAACUGAAUCAUAACAGUUACGUAUGAUUCAAACAUUUAGCUUCUAUUGAAACUGAUAACCAUUAGUCUUCUUCACUAGUCUCCCCAAACACAAGGUCGCCCUCCUCAAAAGAAAUCCUGUGAAACUUAACAGAAUCAUUAUACUGUUCAUUUAACAGUAGAGACUAUAUGUACACCAUUAUUUAUGAAGUUCAAAUUAAAUGCAAGGAAAGGGAAGAGACUUUAUUACUACCUGCUGUCCUUGAAAAAGUUAAGAGAAAUGAUUCCUGAAGCGUAUCCAUCAUAGCGCCAGAAAAAUCAAAACAUUUAUGUCGGAAUUGUUGGCGACAUGCGAUGCAAUGCGGCAAGUGUAGCUUCAAGGUUAUGUUUAGCUUUAUCAUAAGUUUUCUUUUUAAACAAACAAAAACAAAAUUAUCAAAUGUUUUCAACAUAUAUGUUUAGAAAAUUUAGCUUUAGUUAGUAACUUACUAAACCCUGGGGAAACUUUUUCCAAAUGUGCUUCAUUGUAUUGCAAAAGUAAUGCACCUCAUCAGCAGCAUCCUUAUCUUGAUAUCCUUCAGCUGUUUUUGUUUUGCGCAUCAUUCCAUCUUUGUGAAUUUGAUGAAACUCAGUGGCAAGUCCUGAAAUGGAUUGCUUAAUGUUCACUUGCCUUGUCUCCUUCACCAUCACAUCAUAAGCUUUCUCCCAUUUCAUUAAAUUUGGAUCUGUUGCUGCUUGAGAUGGAUUAACUUGAUGGUCGUCGAUCACUUUUGGGAAGUGGCGCUUCCUAUUUUCAUUUGGAUGUUUGGGCUUGUGAUUCGGAUUUUCAGGAAUGGCGAAUAACCUCAUGCGCGCUCUUGGUAUAAACUAUAGUUCUUCUGCUGCUGUAUGAAAAUGUGGAUGUACACAUAUCAUUUCCAGAUGUCUCCUGAAUGUGCAACCAAAACGAAGACAAAAUGGAAGAGAUUAUAUUUCCAGAAUGGGAAAAUGCAGAGAACUAAUACGUACAUAGUGCUGCUACUAUACAUGGUUCUCUACAACUAAUCAACACACACUUUCAAGUUUCAAGAUAAGUACACGAGAAACAGCCUGACAAUGAAAACCAAAAAUGUACCUAUUUACCAUUAGAAACUGCAUAUAAUCAAAGUAAUUGAGAUAAUAGUUUUAUACACUCAAACCCACUAUACCAAUACUUGGGAGCUGUCACUACAAGUCACUGUGAUACGUUUUCAUCAAGAAUUGAACUAAUCUGGCAAGCAUGGGUUUAUAUAUUAAGACCUUACCUAGAUGUAAAUUACUCAUUUGGGCCGAUAUGCUAAUAGCAUAUUCAUCAGGGGCGGCCCUGAGGGUGUUCAAAUGGAGCAGCCGCACAAGGCCUUCGGUUUUCGAAGGCCUCUGAAUUCAAUUUUGUAAUGGCUUUAGAUAAAUAUAUAGGUCAAGAAUGUUGAGAGUUAUUGAAUUAUUGUUCAGUUCAGUUGGCCACUUUACCUUAAGUUGUUAGGCUUGAUUGGUCUUGGGUUCAAAACCCAUGGGUGCUUAGCUCUGUUUAAUUUUUCUUUGCCUACUUUGUGAUCUUCUCUCUUCUUUUAAUACAUAUUUUUUUUCUUUUCA